CAAAGUAGGCGCUGGGGUGAGAUCUGGGGCGCUGGGGUGGGAUCUGGGGCACAGGGGUGAGAUCGGGCUUACAGGGGUGGGAUCUGGGGCUCUGGGGUGCUGGGGUGGGAUCUGGGUUACCAGGGGUGAGAUCGGGGGCGCUGGGGUGAGAUCUGGGUUACAGGGGUGAGAUCGGGGGCGCUGGGGUGAGAUCUGGGUUACAGGGGUGGGAUCUGGGGCUCUGGGGUGAGAUCUGGGGUGCUGGGGUGAGGUCUGGGUUACAGGGGUGAGAUCUGGGUUACAGGGGUGAGAUCUGGGGCGCUGGGGUGAGAUCUGGGGUGCUGGGGUGAGGUCUGGGUUACAGGGGUGAGAUCUGGGGCGCUGGGGUGAGAUCUGGGUUACAGGGGUGAGAUCUGGGGCGCUGGGGUGAGAUCUGGGGUGCUGGGGUGAGGUCUGGGUUACAGGGGUGAGAUCUGGGGCGCUGGGGUGAGAUCUGGGGCGCUGGGGUGAGGUCUGGGUUACAGGGGUGAGAUCUGGGGUGCUGGGGUGAGAUCUGGGUUACAGGGGUGGGAUCUGGGGUGCUGGGGUGAGAUCUGGGUUACAGGAGUGGGAUCUGGGGUGCUGGGGUGAGGUCUGGGUUACAGGGGUGAGAUCUGGGGCGCUGGGGCCAGCUGAAGCACGGGAGCAGGGGAAGCCUGCUGCCUUACCUGCCAUGACAGCUGGAGAGUGGCAGUUAGGGGAGCCCCUCCCCCAACGG
ensembl:lncRNA